GACGAACGCUGGCGGCGUGCCUAAUACAUGCAAGUUGAGCGCUGACGGCUGGUACUUGUACCAACUGGAUGAGCAGCGAACGGGUGAGUAACGCGUGGGGAAUCUGCCUUUGAGCGGGGGACAACAUUUGGAAACGACUGCUAAUACCGCAUAAAAACUUUAAACACAAGUUUCAAGUUUGAAAGAUGCAGUUGCAUCACUCAAAGAUGAUCCCGCGUUGUAUUAGCUAGUUGGUGAGGUAAAGGCUCACCAAGGCGAUGAUACAUAGCCGACCUGAGAGGGUGAUCGACCAAGUUGGGACUGGGACACGGCCCAAACUCCUACGGGAGGCAGCAGUAGGGAAUCUUCGGCAAUGGACGAAAGUCGGGCCGAGCAACGCCGCGUGAGUGAAGAAGGUUUUCGGAUCGUAAAACUCUGUUGGUAGAGAAGAACGUUGGUGAGAGUGGAAAGCUCAUCAAGUGACGGUAACUACCCAGAAAGGGACGGCUAACUACGUG
rnacentral:rRNA from 1 species